AGACUCUCGGCAACGGAUAUCUCGGCUCUUGCAUCGAUGAAGAACGUAGCGAAAUGCGAUACUUGGUGUGAAUUGCAGAAUCCCGUGAACCAUCGAGUCUUUGAACGCAAGUUGCGCCCGAAGCCAUUAGGCUGAGGGCACGCCUGCCUGGGUGUCG
rnacentral:rRNA from 2 species